rnacentral:rRNA from 1 species
AGUACCGUGAGGGAAAGGUGAAAAGCACCCCGGGAGGGGAGUGAAACAGUACCUGAAACCGUGCGCCCACGAGCAGUCGGAGCACCUUUAUGGUGUGACGGCGUGCCUUUUGUAGAAUGAGCCAGCGAGUCGCUGGCGCGGGGCGAGGUUAACCGAAAGGGAGCCGGAGCGAAAGCGAGCCUUAACAGGGCGACUUGAGUCCCGCGCCGCGGACGCGAAGCCGGGUGAGCUAUCCGUGGGCAGGCUGAAGCGGGGGUAAGACCCCGUGGAGGGCCGAACGCACGUCGGUUGAAAACGGCGGCGAUGACCUGCGGAUAGGGGUGAAAGGCCAAUCAAACCCGGAGAUAUCUCGUUCUCCCCGAAAUAGCUUUAGGGCUAGCGUCGCGCGUUCACCGCCGGAGGUAGAGCACCGGAUGGACGAGGGGGCUUCGCCGCCUACCGAAUCCAACCGAACUCCGAAUGCCGGCGGCCCAGAGCGCGGCAGUCAGAGCAUGUGGGCUAAGCUGUGUGCUCGAGAGGGAAACAGCCCGGACCGCCCGCUAAGGUCCCCAAGUUCCAGCCGAGUGGCAAAGGAUGUGCGUCCGCCCAGACAACCAGGAUGUUGGCUUAGAAGCAGCCAUCCAUUCAAAGAGUGCGUAACAGCUCACUGGUCGAGUGGACAUGCGCCGACAAUACACGGGGCUAAGCUGGACACCGAAGCGGCGGGAUUUUAAUUCAUUAGAAUCGGUAGGGGAGCUUCCCAUGGGCGGAGAAGCCGGAGGGCGACCGACGGUGGAGCGCAUGGGAGUGAGAAUGCUGGCAUGAGUAGCGAGAGACGAGAGAGUAACUCGUCCGCCGUGAACCCGAGGUUUCCUGGGCAAGGCUAAUCCUCCCAGGGUCAGUCGGGGGCUAAGGCGAGGCCGGUAGGCGUAGCCGACGCGCAGCAGGCAGACAUUCCUGCACCGCGCACGCGGCGCUACGACCGACGGGGCGACGGAUGGGGGUGGCUCGGCGGGGUUCUGGACGUCCCCGUGAUGGAGCGCGGCCCGCGGACCAGGGAAAUCCGGUCCGCAGGAGGGCGAGGCUCCGGACGAAGCACUUAAGCGAAGCGAGUGAGCCCGAGGUCCCUAGAAAAACCCCUAGGCAGGCGCGUGCGCGCCCGUACCGCAAACCGACACAGGUGGGUGGGUAGAACAUACCGAGGCGAUCGGGUCAACCAUGGUCAAGGAACUCGGCACAAUGGCCCCGUAACUUCGGGAGAAGGGGUGCCCGCGCGUACGUGAACGGACUUGCUCCGGGAGCGGAGGCGGGCCGCAGUGGAGAGGCCCAAGCGACUGUUUACCAAAAACACAGGACUCUGCAGAAGCCGCAAGGCGACGUAUAGGGUCUGACGCCUGCCCGGUGCCGGAAGGUCACGCGGAGGAGUUAGCCAUUUCGGCGAAGCCCCGAAGCCAAGCCCCGGUAAACGGCGGCCGUAACUAUAACGGUCCUAAGGUAGCGAAAUUCCUUGUCGGGUAAGUUCCGACCUGCACGAAAGGCGCAACGACUUGGGCGCUGUCUCGACCAUGGACCCGGUGAAAUUGCACUGGUCGUGAAGAUGCGACUUACCCGCGGAAGGACGGAAAGACCCCGUGAACCUUCACUGCAGCUUGGCAUUGGCCGCUGGUCCCGCGUGUAGAGGAUAGGCAGGAGGCACAGAUCCGGAGGCGCCAGCCCCCGGGGAGCCGCCCUUGGAAUACUGCCCUCGCGCGACCGGCGUCCUAACCCGAGGCCGUCAACCGGCUCGGGGACCGUGCCAGGCGGGCAGUUUGACUGGGGCGGUCGCCUCCUAAAGGGUAACGGAGGCGCGCGAAGGUCCGCUCGGGACGGUCGGCAACCGUCCUUUUGAAUGCAAGAGUACAAGCGGGCUUGACUGCGAGGCCCACAAGCCGAGCAGGUGCGAAAGCAGGCUCUAGUGAUCCGGCGGCCCCGAGUGGGUGGGCCGUCGCUCAACGGAUAAAAGGUACUCCGGGGAUAACAGGCUGAUCUUGCCCAAGAGUCCACAUCGACGGCAAGGUUUGGCACCUCGAUGUCGGCUCAUCGCAUCCUGGGGCUGGAGCAGGUCCCAAGGGUACGGCUGUUCGCCGUUUAAAGCGGUACGCGAGCUGGGUUCAGAACGUCGUGAGACAGUUCGGUCCCUAUCCUCCG